rnacentral:rRNA from 1 species
UACAGAGGGUGCGAGCGUUAAUCGGAAUUACUGGGCGUAAAGCGCACGUAGGUGGCGACGUAAGUCGGGUGUGAAAGCCCCCGGGCUCAACCUGGGAAUUGCAUUCGAGACUGCAUUGCUGGAGUACGGAAGAGGAAGGCGGAAUUCCCGGUGUAGCGGUGAAAUGCGUAGAUAUCGGGAGGAACAUCAGUGGCGAAGGCGGCCUUCUGGUCCAGUACUGACACUCAAGUGCGAAAGCGUGGGGGAGCAAACAGG